UCUCGAGAGUUGCGCGCUCCUCGUGACGCCAUCAGGACGCGCGAGGCUCCGGGUUCGGGGGGAGGAUUAGAGUCCAAGCUAGAGUCCUGUCUCCGCAUGCCGGCUUCAAGCGUUGGGACCUGCAAGUCCCAGUUGGCCCCUCUGAGAGAGAGGCGAGCUGAUCUUCCAGACAGUACUUACCUCUAGCAGAUAAAUUUACCAGGCUGCUCAACUGGUUUAACCAGCAGGGCGUGCAACUACGCUUCCCAGCAUGCAUCCCGAGCGAGGCGGCCCAAACAAUGGGAGAAGAGGGGUAGAGGCGGAGGGAAGGGGAAGAGCGGGGUGCCGCCGGGCGGAGGCCGCUCUCACGGUGAGGUAGCCUCUCGCGGACCUCACCGUCAGAGCCCUGUACGAGAAAGGAGCCCCAGUUUCAUGGAACCGAAAUUGCAGAUCCUCGUCCAUCGCUAAUCAAACUUUUAGAAAGUGUUAAAGGUUGUUGUGAACCUUGUGUUUUAGCUGAGAGUAACUGGGUUCCAUCAGAGCCGUGUAAGUGUUCUGAAAAAGAGUCUAAAGAAAGCCGGCCGGUGGUGGCGCACACCUUGAAUCCCAGCAGUCUGGUGAGUUCGAGGCCAGGCUGGUCUGCAUAAUGAGUUCAGGAUGGCCGGGGGAAAAAACCCUGUCUCGAAGAACAAACAACAACGAAAACCAACCCAACAAAAUCUGAGUCUAAGGGCCCUGUUCACUGGUGACUUACUAUUGAUGACACUGAAGCAAGAAAAACUGAUCCUUCCCUUGAGUGCACUUCAGAAAAAAUUACUCACAAGAUACCAAACAAGUAACCCAGAAGAGCCGCUGCCGAAC